GACGAACGCUGGCGGCGUGCUUAACACAUGCAAGUCGAACGGAAAGGCCCUGCUUUUGUGGGGUGCUCGAUUGGCUAACGGGUGAGUAACACGUGAGUAACCUGCCCUUGACUUUGGGAUAACUUCAGGAAACUGGGGCUAAUACCGGAUAGGAGCUCCUGCUCCAUGGUGGGGGUUGGAAAGUUUCGGCGGUUGGGGAUGGACUCGCGGCUUAUCAGCUUGUUGGUGGGGUAGUGGCUUACCAAGGCUUUGACGGGUAGCCGGCCUGAGAGGGUGACCGGCCACAUUGGCACUGAGAUACGGCCCAGACUCCUACGGGAGGCAGCAGUGGGGAAUAUUGCACAAUGGGCGGAAGCCUGAUGCAGCAACGCCGCGUGCGGGAUGACGGCCUUCGGGUUGUAAACCGCUUUCGCCUGUGACGAAGCGUGAGUGACGGUAAUGGGUAAAGAAGCACCGGCUAACUACGUG
rnacentral:rRNA from 1 species